AAAGGGAAAAUUGAAGGUUUGAAGUUUUAAAGUUUAAUUAGUAAGUUAAUUUAGCAUUUUUACUUAAUUUUGAUAUUUUAGAAGUUUUAGAACAAAGUUUUGAUAAAAUUAAGUUGAUAUUUUGAAGGUUAUUAGAUUUCUCGAUAUUAUUCAUGUUGAAUAAAAUGAUGAUUUAUGAGUUUUAUUGAUAGGAAUUUAAGUUAGAAGUGGGAAAAGGAUUAAAUUAUAAAGAGAAAGUUAAGUUUUGACAUAGUAAGGGCUAAGUUGAAAGAAAUUCAAAAUUUAAGUUUUAUGUUGAAUAUGAAAAGCUGGAAUUUAUUUUAAGCAAGUAUAAAGAUGAAAACUUAAGUUAAUUUUUUAAGAAAAAGAAUGGUUAUGGUGGAAGGACUAAAUUGGAAUUUAUGGAAAAGUUACAUGGAAAUCUUAAGAAUGUGAUAUUAAUGACUUUGAAUGAAUGUAAAUUUUUCCGUAGCUAACGUAACGCCAGAAAUGUCAUCGAAGAAGGGGAAAGAGAAAGUGGACGAAGAUAUCGAGUAAACUCGAGAAUUACGGUUUGUAUUUCUAUAAAUCGAAUCUAAUAAUUAUUUGUUGAAUUUAUUAUUUAUAUGAAUGAUAAGUAUUAUUAUUAUUAUUAUUAUUAAGGUAUUGAAUUGAAUAAAAAUUCAUGAAUUAUUAGUGAUUUUUGAUAUUGAAUAGAAUAUGUGAAUAUUAAGUAGAAAAUUGAAAAAUGUAUAUUGCAUUGAAAUUGAUUUGCAUGUGGAUUGAUAUGGAAAAAUGUAUUAAAUUGGAUUGAAACUAAAUUAUAAAUGAAAUUAAAAAGUUGAAACUUUAUUAAAUACCCUAUUAACUGUAUCGGGCUAGUCGGAUAUGGCAUGCCAUAGGAUUGGAAGUGUUCAGGGAUAUUUCGACUGUGUGUUGAUGAGACACUAUAUGUGUCGACUACUGUGACUGUUCCGGAUUCAUCCCGAAGAGGUACUCCGUACUUGACUGUUACUGUUACUGUUACUGUUCCAGAUUUGUUCCGAUGAGGUACUUUGUGUACCGCUACUGUUACUGUUACUGUUACCCUUACGGUGUAUUCCGGCUUCGGUCGAUGAAACACUGUAUACUAUCCCCGGUGUGUGGGUUGGAUCCGUG
rnacentral:lncRNA from 1 species